GACGAACCGUGCGAACGUUGUUCGGAAUCACUGGGCUUAAAGGGCGCGUAGGCGGGCUAACAAGUCUGGGGUGAAAGCCCCAAGCCUAACUUGGGAACUGCCAUUGAUACUGAUGGUCUUGAGUACAUUUGAGGUGGGCGGAAUGUGUCAUGUAGCGGUGAAAUGCUUAGAUAUGACACAGAACACCGAUUGCGAAGGCAGCUCACUAAACUGUAACUGACGCUGAGGCACGAAAGCGUGGGGAGCAAACAGG
rnacentral:rRNA from 1 species